CCCAGCGGAGUUCCUGGGUGUUUCAUGGGAGCACCCGCCCUGUCCCCUGGAGGAACACACUGAGGAUGAAGACUUCCGGGGCAGGCGUCAGGAGGCACCCAAGGUGGAGGAAGGCCUGCGAGAAGGACAGUAAGAGAUGCCAGCAGCUCUUCCUUGCCAGAGAUGAUCUGACCCGGUGGGGGCAGCUGGAAAGCAACACUGGCCCCCAGCUGAAGGGCCCAGCUGCAGCCAGACAGAUGGUGCUUGAGAACCGAGGCCCAGUGAUCCUCCAGCCACAGUCCAGCCCAACCACUGCCACUUUCCAUGGGACUUAGAACUUCGGAGUUGCUGCCUUGCAAUUGGAGGAAGGACCUGGGGCCCCUAUAGGCAGCAGCCAAUUACAGCCCCUUUUGUAGCCAGGCGUUCCUAUGGUCAAAGAGUGGAAAUGCAGGAACCAACCUCCCUUUAAAAAAAAAAAAAAUCCAGAAAGCAGAUAAAAGUUGGAAUAUGGAAAAGGGCAAGAUGACCCCACCAGAGGCUCUUUGGCCUGAAGGUGGAGUCUCUGCCU
rnacentral:sRNA from 1 species